GAUGAACGCUGGCGGCGUGCUUAACACAUGCAAGUCGAACGGAAAGGCUCCUGCUUGCAGGGGUACUCGAGUGGCGAACGGGUGAGUAACACGUGGGUGAUCUGCCCUGCACUUCGGGAUAAGCCUGGGAAACUGGGUCUAAUACCGGAUAGGACGAUGGUUUGGAUGCCAUUGUGGAAAGUUUUUUCGGUGUGGGAUGAGCUCGCGGCCUAUCAGCUUGUUGGUGGGGUAAUGGCCUACCAAGGCGUCGACGGGUAGCCGGCCUGAGAGGGUGUACGGCCACAUUGGGACUGAGGUACGGACCAGACUCCUACGGGAGGCAGCAGUGGGGAAUAUUGCACAAUGGGCGCAAGCCUGAUGCAGCGACGCCGCGUGGGGGAUGACGGCCUUCGGGUUGUAAACUCCUUUCGCUAGGGACGAAGCGCAAGUGACGGUACCUGGAGAAGAAGCACCGGCUAACUACGUG
rnacentral:rRNA from 1 species